rnacentral:lncRNA from 1 species
GGAGACCAGAGACCUUCCUGAGGUUCAUCUAUACAAAGCUCCUCCCAUGUGCUCCUCGGCCAUUUCCUCCAAAGGCUGCUCCCUGGGGAGGAGCGAAUCACCAGCCUCCUUCAGCCUCCCCAGCAUCAACUCCUCCGUGCUACUCAGGUAAGUGUGAAUUUCUCUUCCAGGGGUUAGGAGAAUUCUAACAGUUACUCAAAGCCAGGACA